AUGAACGCUAGCUACAGGCUUAACACAUGCAAGUCGAGGGGCAGCAUGGUCUUAGCUUGCUAAGGCCGAUGGCGACCGGCGCACGGGUGAGUAACACGUAUCCAACCUGCCGUCUACUCUUGGACAGCCUUCUGAAAGGAAGAUUAAUACAAGAUGGCAUCAUGAGUCCGCAUGUUCACAUGAUUAAAGGUAUUCCGGUAGACGAUGGGGAUGCGUUCCAUUAGAUAGUAGGCGGGGUAACGGCCCACCUAGUCUUCGAUGGAUAGGGGUUCUGAGAGGAAGAUCCCCCACAUUGGGACUGAGACACGGUCCAAACUCCUACGGGAGGCAGCAGUGAGGAAUAUUGGUCAAUGGACGAGAGUCUGAACCAGCCAAGUAGCGUGAAGGAUGACUGCCCUAUGGGUUGUAAACUUCUUUAUACGGGAAUAAAGUGAGGCACGUGUGCCUUUUGUAUGUACCGUAUGAAUAAGGAUCGGCUAACUCCGUG
rnacentral:rRNA from 1 species